GAUCUUGGUGGUGAAACAGGUUUUCUAACAACAGAGGAGAGGCAUCUUUAAAGACGACGUCCGUCUUCAUUAGAGAUGAGAGGAGCAGCUAUGAGUUUAACUGCAGCAGCGAGUGGAUUUGUUGUCUUCCUUCUCUCUGUGUCAGGUUUUCUAACAACAGAGGAGAGGCAUCUUUAAAGACGACGUCCGUCUUCAUUAGAGAUGAGAGGAGCAGCUAUGAGUUUAACUGCAGCAGCGAGUGGAUUUGUUGUCUUCCUUCUCUCUGUGUCAGUGAUACAGGGACAGGAUGACUGGAGAGUGACUUACACCUCUACUCAGAUCUGUGCUGUUAAAGGAUCAACAGUGAACAUACGCUGCAGCUACACAUACCCAUCCACAAUAAAUGGCCUUGUUACCAAAGUUGAGAAAAGAUUCUGGUUUA